UUUCCGUAGGUGAACCUGCGGAAGGAUCAUUAUUGUAUAGCCGAGGUGCGAGGGCUGUCGCUGACCCGAAAGGUCGUGCACGCCCGAGUGCCCUCACACACAUCCAUCUCACCCCUAUGUGCACCACCGCGUGGGUCCCCCUUUGGCUUGUUCGGAGGGGGGCUUACGUUUUCACACAAACUUUGUAUGCAGUGUAGAAUGUAUUUUUUGUUUUUGCGAUCACGCAAUCAAUACAACUUUCAACAACGGAUCUCUUGGCUCUCGCAUCGAUGGAGAACGCAGC
rnacentral:misc_RNA from 1 species